CCUCGACCACUUUAAUGGAAUUUCAGUACAUAUAUACACCAGGAAUAUUGAUACAGAUUCAAGGCCCCCAAGACUAUGUUUUUAGACCAAGACCAGAUUUGUAAAGGGAGAUAUAAGUGCCAUGAAAACUAUGUUUUACAAGCCUAAUGACCAUAAGAAGGCUUUCUAUGAGACUAUGAUGACCUCUUCCCAUAUUGGAAAGGAUUCUGGAUGAAUUGGUCACCAUUAAAAGGCUGAAAUUAAUGACCAAAUUUAUGUGUGGGGGGAAGAAAGUACUGAUUGCUCAUGAUAGAAAGGCUCCUACUCUUUUGCUUCAGAGGCUGCUCUUCUACUUCCCUCCAAGUUUAGCUACGGAUUUGAACGAGUAAUAUGUUCUAAUGCUAUGGCUACGAUAUAGCAUUAUAUUUUACAGAUUGUUGGAUGAGCGAACAUGGAAUCAAUGGGCAUACAAUUUUGUCGUUACUGUAGCUUGGCACUCUUGGAGGUGUUUUGGUUUUAGCCUGUUGUUGGUAGUUUCUAAAUAACAAGAUGAUGAGUUGGAGCAGGGUCCUUUGGUAGGGUUUAUCAUCGGUUGUAUGUUUCCAAUCACCACGCUGUUUAACUGAAGAUGCAAUUUAGAUUGGAUGGAUCACAGCUAGUGCAGGAUGGGUUGGAUGGAACACAAUUGGUGCAAUGAGAACCAACACAAUUGAUGAGACUAUCAUUGUUUGUUUUAGACAUUUUUUUUUGGAGAAUUGAAUGCUGGAAACUUAAAUUGGAGAUUUCUGGAGAGUUGAUUUAUUUAUUUUAGAGAAAAUUAUAAAGCACUUGACGUGCAAGUUUAUGUGUGUUUUCUGGAGACUUGAUGAACUUGUUUUAGUGAAGAUCUCUGGAUACUUGAUUUUUGGAAAA